rnacentral:lncRNA from 1 species
UAUCACAAUUCUAGGCUCUUUUUCAUUUUUUUUUGUUGUGUGUUGGUUGAAGUGAUCUCAAGGUGGAAGAUGGCACAACUGGUUUUUUUUUUCCAAUCUUUCAUAUCACAAUGUGUUUUUAGAAGGGAUCUGAGGCAAUUAUAUAGCUAAUAAAGGACAACUUCAAUAAUAUUGAAGAUAGUGAGUAGUUAUAUCAAACAUGGAGCAGUGUCAUUGUUCAACAG